UACGGAGGGUGCAAGCGUUAAUCGGAAUUACUGGGCGUAAAGCGUGCGUAGGCGGUUCGUUAAGUCUGUUGUGAAAGCCCCGGGCUCAACCUGGGAAUGGCAAUGGAUACUGGCGAGCUAGAGUGUGUCAGAGGAUGGUGGAAUUCCCGGUGUAGCGGUGGAAUGCGUAGAGAUCCGGAAGAACACCCGUGGCUAAGGCGGCUCUCUAGUACGGUACUGACGCUGAGACGCGAAAGCGUGGGGAGCGAACAGG
rnacentral:rRNA from 1 species